rnacentral:rRNA from 1 species
UUUUAUGGAGAGUUUGAUCCUGGCUCAGGAUGAACGCUGGCGGCGUGCCUAAUACAUGCAAGUCGAGCGAACGGACGAGAAGCUUGCUUCUCUGAUGUUAGCGGCGGACGGGUGAGUAACACGUGGAUAACCUACCUAUAAGACUGGGAUAACUUCGGGAAACCGGAGCUAAUACCGGAUAAUAUUUUGAACCGCAUGGUUCAAAAGUAAAAGACGGUCUUGCUGUCACUUAUAGAUGGAUCCGCGCUGCAUUAGCUAGUUGGUAAGGUAACGGCUUACCAAGGCAACGAUGCAUAGCCGACCUGAGAGGGUGAUCGGCCACACUGGAACUGAGACACGGUCCAGACUCCUACGGGAGGCAGCAGUAGGGAAUCUUCCGCAAUGGGCGAAAGCCUGACGGAGCAACGCCGCGUGAG